rnacentral:rRNA from 1 species
CGAACGGGUGAGUAAUACAUCGGAACGUGCCCAGUCAUGGGGGAUAACUACUCGAAAGAGUAGCUAAUACCGCAUACGAUCUGAGGAUGAAAGCGGGGGACCUUCGGGCCUCGCGCGAUUGGAGCGGCCGAUGGCAGAUUAGGUAGUUGGUGGGAUAAAAGCUUACCAAGCCGACGAUCUGUAGCUGGUCUGAGAGGACGACCAGCCACACUGGGACUGAGACACGGCCCAGACUCCUACGGGAGGCAGCAGAA